CAAUCUCUCCAGAAAAUCUCUUUCAACUCUCUAUCUCUUCAGCUUAAUCGGUGAGUAAUUUUUAAUUUUAAUUUUGUAAUUGUUUUUGAAGAAGAUAUAGUACAGUAUAUGAAUGUGGUUUUAGAAUUGAGGUUGAAAUUUGUGUUUUUCAAUCUCCAAUCCAAUUGUUGUUUUGACUGGUUGUAGGUGGAUAUUAAUUUUGUAAUUGUUUUGCUACUACAAACUAUGUUGCCAACAACGAUUUCCAAACAAAUAUUUUGCUUCUACAAACUACGUUGCCAAGGUAAUUUUUCCAUCUCUGAGUUCCAACCAUUAAUAUAAUCUCAAAAAUUUAAAUUUUUUUCCAUCUCUGAGUUUCAACCAUUAAUAUAAUCUAAAUUUAUUUUCCCAAACUGCUUCUAUAUCCAAAAGUCUUGGUAUUCGGCAUGUCAAGAAUUCAACAUCUUAGUAGCUUUUAUAUUGAAAUUUUUUGAGGCUUUAAAAGAUAUUAGUCUCUGGAUUAACAGUUUUAAUAUUGGUUUUGUUAGUCUCUAGACUUAGGUAUCGUUUGUUUUUCUUUCAGUUAAGCACUGAAUACUCAUUAAGUUCUGAAGAUCACUUAAUACAUUCAGUCAUUAAGUGAUCCAUUCUGCCAAAUUUUAAGUCUGAAUGACUUAACUGAACUUUUAGCUGAUGAAAUAGAUUAAGUACUUAAUGGUUAGUAGAAAACAAACAGUCUGAAGACUGAAUACGGUGGUCCACCCACUUAAGUUCAGUCAUUCAGACUGCUGAAUGAAAAACAAACAACACCUUACAGUUUUAAAUAUGUAUAUGCAUAGAUUAACUGUUUCAGUCAUAUGCAUAAGCUUCAUUGAUUGUAUUGUCAAAUAAAAAGUUAGUUUUCACAGGUUAUAGUCUACUAGAGGUCUUUUUAGAGGGAUUGACGGAUUGUGCAGGGAUUGAAUAUCAAAACCCAUGUGUUUGUAAAAAAAAGAAAAAAUAAAUGCAGGGAUUGAAUAUCAAAACCCAUGUGUUUGUAAAAAAAAAUAAAAAAUAAAAAACCCCACAAUUUAGGAGGUUUUGUGAACAUGCCUGUCAUUGGCAGACUUUCCACUAACCAGAUCAAUUGUCUAAUUUUUAAUAGAUCGGCCAGCGUCAAACUUCUAGGAAGCAAAUUAUUUGAUUGGAAAUUAUUAUAGAGUAGUCCACCUCCAUGUCGAAAGCUUCUCUUGAUUUAAUGUUAGAUGCUUCCUCUCUAGAUCUUUAGUAUUGACCCUUUGUGACAGAAUUAUAUUGACGUGCAUUAAGUGUUAGCGGGCUUUUGACUUUUCGCUUAAGUAGUAUAAGGUGUUUUUAAUAGAUUGUGACAUAAGAGAGAUCCCCAAAGUCCCAAAAUUUAUCAUCAGCCAUAUAGAAAACUAUGGCAAUUGACUUUUUGCUUAGGUAGUAUAAGGUGUUUUUUCUUGGUACAAUUAGUCUAUGAUUUCAGGUCUUCAUGUUUUGUCCGAAUGCUUUUGCUGCUUAUUAGCACAUCCCAAACAUAACUGGUUUUUAUUCAUGUGUGUUAUAUACGUUGGGCUUAGGUCUUUAGGUGCUUGAAGUCGUUCAAUAAACCAGAUUGUGGCGUAAAGUCAUUCAAUAAACCAGAUGGGGCUAUACCAAUGUCCUGUACUGAAUUGUAUCCCCUACAUUUGAUAUAUACUCAUUUGAUAAUGAAUGAAUGUGUGUUGAUCAAAGAGACCUGUUUGGGCUUUGCCCAUGAUGAAGCUCGAGUCCACAUAUAAGUCCUUAUUAAUUGAUCAAUGCAACACCUUAAUUUUGUUUUUUUUUUAUAACAUAUAAGAGCUUACUAGCAUAACAAUAGCACGACAACAUCAAAUUUUUGGUGAGCAAUACUGUAUUGUAUUGUGGAUAAUUCGUUUCUAUCUUCUCCUUUUCAGUUAUUCUUAGGGUGAGGGAUUGGCAUGUAACACUGUUAUUUUUAUACUACCAAGAAUAUGUAAUGAAAAUAAAAAGGAAAAAAAAUAUGUAUGUGCUCAUGUUUCCUUUUUCAUAUAAUUCAUGGUGGAUUUCUGCCUUUAUAAUUUCAGAGAGGGGAAGCUUUUCAUUUAAUGAGUUACAAAUAGUAAAUCCAUUCUCCCGAGUCUUGAUUAGUUAUGGAUUAUUAAAAGCACCUGUUAGAUUGGUUACAGUGUCUGUCUGUCUUCAAUGAAAUUACAGGAUAAGGAUGUAAUAUAAGAGUGAGAUGAAUACAGUAUAAAAGAGGAAAAGAGUUCUGCAAACCUUUCAGAUUUCAGUUUUAUUGAAGCCUUGAAGGUAUGCUUUCUCUUUCUCUCAUGUUCUAAGAUAACUCUUUCUAUCAGUGUGUCUAUAGAUCCAUUUUUAUUCAAUCAUUUCUUUUAAUAUUGCACUCACUAGCUUGACAUUAUGCUGCAUUUAGGUAACAAAAGAUUGAGCUUUAGCUUUUUGUUUGGCUUGCCGCCGUGUCAUUCAAAUUAUCUAAAAAUGGAUGUAAGCAGUUACAACCAACAUUCUAAUUUAAAAAAGGAAUACUAUACGUGUUAGGUAACAUAUACUUAUUCUGUUUUGAGCUCUUAGUUUACACUUUGUUUAGAAAAAUCUUAUCGUUAGGUUUACAUUUUUGUUUAUAAAUACUGUGUCCUUACUUGAUUUCUUAACUCGAUAUGGUUUUUUAUUUGCCAAAUUGUAUUAUAAUUUUGGACUUAUCAUAAUGUACUAAGGUUCAAAUCAUAUGGACAUAAAGGAUAAAGCUAAACAACAAAGUUGUGUUGGUCUUAAGAGAAAUAAGAGUGACCAUAACAUACUAUCCUAAGUUAAUAAAACGAUGGAUAUUAUAAAUACUAUUCCAAAUUCAUAGAAAUAGAGAUAAUAAUGGAUGAUUAUAGUUGAGAUAUCUAUUUGAUUCAAUAUCUAUAUAUUGAAUCAAAUAUGUAUAAAAAGCAAUGGCUCUUAAAUUUUUGAUAUUAAGGGAAAUGAAGCUUAAUACAAUCUUAGAAAAAGUUAACUAUGGCUUUUAAAGACAAUGGCCUACGAGAACUCAAACCUGACGCUAUUUAGAACCAGAUUGGUUGAUUGGACCACUGCAAGUUUACGAUGCUAAUGUCACAAUGUUUGAUGAAGUGAAAGGGACUCCAACUUAAUUGUGGUCUUGAAAACACGUAAAGAGUGAUUUUUGAAUUGGUAGUUUGUUCCCUCAUCUUCUUCUUCUGCCUCUAGAAUUUUACGACUUCCUCUCCAUCGUGGCUCUCUCUUCAUCCAUCUUAUCAAUAUACACCAGCAUUCCAGAUACCAUACAUAUAAUUGGAGUCUUGACAAUGUCAAUUGAUAAUUAUUUCACAUAGCGAUUGAGUAAGAUGAUCAAAUGACAGGGAUGAAACGAAGUAUUGAUCUAACCUCUUGACUCACGAAGGAAGAAUCCGCAAAUUAUACAUCAGUUUCUGGAAUCCACCAGCAUUACAACUACCAUAUAGGUAAUUGGAGUCUUGACAUUCCCACUUGACAAUUAUUUAACAUAACAAUGCCAAAACAUGAACAAUUAAAUGUACUUCAGUUUUUUUGCUACCUGUUUACCAUUACCAAUACCAUUACCAUUGUAUGUAGGCUAUCAAAGUUUUGAGUUUGCCAGUCCUUCUCACAGGUCAAAGAAAAAGGGAAAGAGAGAGAGGGUUUGGGGGGGGGGGGGGGGGGGGUUAAUUUUCACUUUGCAAUGGCUAAUGGUAGAGUAGUAAAAGAAUCGACAUACUGAAACCCAGGUCAAUGUAGUUUAAUGUACGUACCAAACUGAAAUUUGUAAAUUUUAUGUGAUUAGUUGAGUAAAAACGAAGAUCAUACGUUCAAGAUACAAGAAUCUCAAUCCCAAGCUAAUCUUGAAACCACUGUCUAUGCAGAGAGAUUUACAUGGUGGUGAAAUAUAUGGGCAAACGAAUCUUAUAGAAUUCAUUUCUCUUUCCCUGUUGAAAUUCUGAUUUCUCCCUCUUAUCGCGUUCUUUGUGUUAAAAUUUUAGUAUACAUUUUUAUGGGUGUGUAAUUAGAUGAUUUUAUAAGAAAUUUAGUAUGAUCUAAUGUAACAGUUUUGUGCUGCAGGAUUUGAAUCGUCUUCUCUCUCAUGAUCAAGUGGCUCACUGUUUCACCUUUUAUAGUCAGUUUGCCAGCAUUUAUGAUUCACCUACUAUAACCAACAUAGCAG
rnacentral:lncRNA from 1 species